rnacentral:rRNA from 1 species
GACGAACCGUGCAAACGUUGUUCGGAAUCACUGGGCUUAAAGGGCGCGUAGGCGGGCAAGCAAGUCCGGGGUGAAAUCUUUCGGCUCAACCGGAAACGUGCCUUGGAUACUGCUUGUCUGGAGGGAGGUAGGGGCAUGCGGAACUUCUGGUGGAGCGGUGAAAUGCGUUGAUAUCAGAAGGAACGCCGGUGGCGAAAGCGGCGUGCUGGACCUCUUCUGACGCUGAGGCGCGAAAGCUAGGGGAGCAAACGGGAUUAGAACUUACCCGUAGUCAGAUCCAAGCCAGUCUC